rnacentral:rRNA from 1 species
UACGUAGGGGGCAAGCGUUGUCCGGAAUCAUUGGGCGUAAAGAGCGUGUAGGCGGCCAGAUAAGUCCGCUGUGAAAUCUCGAGGCUCAACUUCGAGCUGUCGGUGGAAACUGUCUGGCUAGAGUCCGGAAGAGGAGAAUGGAAUUCCUGGUGUAGCGGUGGAAUGCGCAGAUAUCAGGAGGAACACCGAUGGCGAAGGCAGCUCGCUGGGACGGUACUGACGCUGAGGCGCGAAAGCGUGGGGAGCGAACAGG